rnacentral:tRNA from 14 species
GGGUCCGUAGCUCAGUUGGUUAGAGUACUACCUUGACAUGGUAGGGGUCGGCGAUUCGAAUUCGCCCGGACCCACCA